GACGAACGCUGGCGGCGUGCUUAACACAUGCAAGUCGAACGGAAAGGCCCUGCUUUUGUGGGGUGCUCGAGUGGCGAACGGGUGAGUAACACGUGAGUAACCUGCCCUUGACUUUGGGAUAACUUCAGGAAACUGGGGCUAAUACCGGAUAGGAGCUCCUGCUGCAUGGUGGGGGUUGGAAAGUUUCGGCGGUUGGGGAUGGACUCGCGGCUUAUCAGCUCGUUGGUGGGGUAGUGGCUUACCAAGGCUUUGACGGGUAGCCGGCCUGAGAGGGUGACCGGCCACAUUGGGACUGAGAUACGGCCCAGACGCCUACGGGAGGCAGCAGUGGGGAAUAUUGCACAAUGGGCGGAAGCCUGAUGCAGCAACGCCGCGUGCGGGAUGACGGCCUUCGGGUUGUAAACCGCUUUCGCCUGUGACGAAGCGUGAGUGACGGUAAUGGGUAAAGAAGCACCGGCUAACUACGU
rnacentral:rRNA from 1 species